rnacentral:rRNA from 1 species
AUUGAACGCUGGCGGCAUGCUUUACACAUGCGAGUCGAACGGUAACAGGCCUUCGGGUGCUGACGAGUGGCGAACGGGUGAGUAAUGCAUCGGAACGUGCCCAGAGGUGGGGGAUAACGCAGCGAAAGCUGUGCUAAUACCGCAUGUGAUCUGAGGAUGAAAGCGGGGGACCAGGCAGCAAUGUUUGGCCUCGCGCCUUUGGAGCGGCCGAUGUCAGAUUAGGUAGUUGGUGGGGUAAAGGCCUACCAAGCCGACGAUCUGUAGCUGGUCUGAGAGGACGACCAGCCACACUGGGACUGAGACACGGCCCAGACUCCUACGGGAGGCAGCAGUGGGGAAUUUUGGACAAUGGGCGCAAGCCUGAUCCAGCAAUGCCGCGUGCGGGAAGAAGGCCUUCGGGUUGUAAACCGCUUUUGUACGGAACGAAAAGGCUCUGGCUAAUACCUGGGGCUGAUGACGGUACCGUAAGAAUAAGCACCGGCUAACUACGUG